GACGAACGCUGGCGGCGUGCUUAACACAUGCAAGUCGAACGGUGAACUCCGCUUGCGGGGGGAUCAGUGGCGAACGGGUGAGUAACACGUGGGCAACCUGCCCUCAGCUCUGGGAUAACUCCAAUAAAUUGGGGCUAAUACCGGAUAUGACCGCUGACCGCAUGGUCUGGUGGGGGAGAGAUUUUUCGGCUGGGGGUGGGGCCGCGGCCGAUCAGCUUGUUGGUGGGGUAGUGGCGUACCAAGGCGACGACGGGUAGCCGGCCUGAGAGGGUGACCGGCCACACUGGGACUGAGACACGGCCCAGACUCCUACGGGAGGCAGCAGUGGGGAAUAUUGCGCAAUGGGCGCAAGCCUGACGCAGCGACGCCGCGUGGGGGAUGACGGCCUUCGGGUUGUAAACCUCUUUCAGCAGGGACGAAGCGAAAGUGACGGUACCUGCAGAAGAAGCACCGGCCAACUACGUG
rnacentral:rRNA from 1 species